rnacentral:snRNA from 1 species
AUCGCUUCUCGGCCUUUUGGCUAAGAUCAAGUGUAGUAUCUGUUCUUAUCAGUUUAAACAAUACAGCAUAGCAACAACUUGGGCAGAAUUCACAUUGAAUUAGGUAUUAAAAGUCAUCUAUAGAGGAUUCAAA